GACUAACUAUAUUAUAUGUGAUCAGAUUUAUUGUUUCAUUGUGAACGUACAUAUUUUAUCUGUAGCUAACUGUUACCAGAUUGUCUAUGAUCAAAUAGUCUAAUCUAUAACUGUAUGCAAUUAAGUUACUAACAUGUACUAUCUGUGACUAAUUGUGACCAAAUCAUCCAAUCACAAUAAACACAUACGUGAUCACAAUGGGUCACCACAAACAAAUUUAUACGCGACAAAGACC
rnacentral:lncRNA from 1 species